UUUUAGCGGUAACGUGUCCUUUCUCUAUGAUUUUCUCAACGAAUUUUGCUCACCUUCUUGUGUAAGUUUUGGGGAUUUUGAAUUUCAAUUUUGAAACAGUCAUACUCUAUUUGAGUCUAUAAAUAGAAACCUUCCUCUUCAUUUGGGGGGGGGGGGGGGGGGGUAUUUUUUCAGAAUUAACAGAGAUAAAAAUGGGUUUUUCACACCAACAAUGGGGCUUUGAUAGCCCUCAAGAGUUCGAACACUUAGAAACUCGGCAAAAGCCUUGAGUUUCGAGGAAGUUUGAGCUCGUGCUUUAAUUUUUUGAAGUCGUUUCUGCUCAUCGAAAAUCGAUUUGGGGGCAAAGUUAUUCGUCGAUUCUCGUCGCCCCCGUCGCUGCUCGACAAAAAGCUAAUUCGCAAAUCCUGUCUCCUUAAUUUUCUUUGGAGUUCUAAAUUUAUGUAAUAUUAAUAGAGGUUUUUUUUUUAGUUGUUGUUUGGUCUGUUUUGGCUAAGUCCAAUUUAGAUGGAAUAGCUUGAUAUAUGAAUGUUGUAUCUGCCCUGAGUUUGGAAGAUUAACAUAUAUGUUUAAGUUAUAAACCUACUUGAUAUAGUUAUUAGCAUGACUUGUCUCUAACCAGUUUGGAAUAAUUAAACAUAGUAGAGAACUAGAUGCUUUGAGCUCCAAAAUGUCCAAUUCCUAAUCAUAGUCAUACAAAGUAUAAUUCUUGGUUUUUGCUGUGACAACUAAUUGAACUUAUGAGUUAACAAUUUUUACAGUUAGUCCAAGAAUUAAGCAUACAUCAUCAGUCAUUGUUGGUAUUCUUCUUCUACUUAAAAAUAAUAAUAGGAAUUAACUUAAGAGGACAAAGUAAUUCAAGAGGCUUGUCUGGUCGUACAAUGAUUUAGUGAUGGCUAUGAUAGAGGUUGACAUUGGAUUCUGUCUAGUUUUGAUUAAGAAUGAGGUGAAUUCAUUCCUUGUUACCUUCCAUAGGCAUCCUGUGAGUUUAGUAUGUGUUUACCUGAAUAUUUAUUUUAGUUGCUGCCUGUGUAAUCACCAUCUCCUUUCAUCUUUAAGCUCUGUCUCUCUAGCUAGUCCAUUUUGGCAUCUUCAUUUGGUUCCGUUAGUUGUGAUCGAUUCCCUAACAAUGUGAUAUUAGUUCACAGGGAAUAGGAGGUAGUUCCAGUCUCACUUGUUUUACUUUCUCUGAUUGACCAAUUCCUGAAUAUUGUUGCUUGCUGCUUUCUUUAAAUCAGUAGUCUAUGAUCCUUUAGCUUCAGUCCAAAUUCAUAGUGUGAAGUCACAUUUGGUUGGUGUGAAACUGUUGAUAAAUUGUGGCUCUGCUGAUAGCAGCCAUAAUUUGAGUAUUCAAUAAUAUUUUUGACCUUCCCUCUUUGUUGUGCCUUAUCUAUCAUAAGUUUAUGGAUAUCCAGGAGCCUAUGUCCAUGAGAACAACAUGACCUUCUUGUUUAAACCAUUCAAGUGUAGAGCUUUGGCUUCCUUUCUCUACAAAAUCUGAAAUUUGUUUUGCUCAGAAUAGUUUAAAUGUAUAGCAUGCUAAAUGGUUAAGGGAUGUAUGUUAAGAUUCAGUUUUCUUAUCUCAAUCUCUUCAGUGACAGUUUGGUUACUUUCAGCACUCUUAAAAUUAUCCCCUUGAGUAAUUUUCUUACUUGCACCUUCACUGCCUUUGCUAAUUUCUUACUGGUUGAAAGCCAAGGCAACUUAGGGACAGGUUUAGCCCCUUCAAUAGCUUGCCAAGCCAAGGUUCUAGAAACCUUUGGAUCUUGUGCGGCAUUGAAAACAUGGAUAGUGGUAGCCCCCACUGCUGCCUUAGUCUUUUUAGCCUAAUGUUUUGUUCUAAUAUGAUUAGUCUUGGAAAGCUAAUCUCUCUUUAAGAAUCUUGUUGAGUUGAUGCCAUUCCCUUCCAUGUGUGGAUUUACUAACUGCCAAAGUCUUAUUCAUUAAGUUUGGUCUGAGAGCUUGUUGUCCCUGUUAUGUGUCAAGACCAAGUUUUCCUGUGCACAACUCAUAUGACAAUUUCUAUUUAGUUAAGUAGGAAGCUUAAGUCCAUUCUUUAUGUAGUCCCAAUCUCUGUUUCUGUUUUAGUUACAUAUAUAAUGCCUGGGUCACUCUCUCUAUUGUUGAUAGUUGUUGUUGUUGGUUUGUAGCAGAAUAUUUCCCUGCUCUCAUUGCUAGAUUGCUUCAAUUAUGUGGGUUAUAGAUUAUGUUUGAAGAUUUCAAUCAUUUAAUCAAGUGCAGGCAUUAGUCUCACCUAAUUUAAAUCUAAACCAGUUGCCAUCUUGUUAUAGCAAGUCUGUUUUCCCCCCUCUUUGCUAAAAUGGCUUGUUUUGAAUUAAUGAGAAGUGAGUAUGAGAAGUGCUUAGCUAAAUUGUUUCCUUUAAGUUGAUAAGAUUCCUUCUUUUGUGCAAGCUUAUGGAAGAAUAUGUAUGUUGACACUCGAUUUUAGCCCUCCAAAAUUCAAAUUAACUAAUAAAGCUUCUUGAAUCACAAACAGGGAUAGAAUUAAUCAGAAAAAGAGCAAAAAUACUUUCAGUGCUAUUUAUGCCAUUUCAUCUGGCAAAUACCUUGAGAUAUAUCAUGUAUACUUUUACAUAUAAUUUCAAGUGUUAAUUAUGUCUAUCAUAUCAAUUUUAAAUCAGUUUAUAUCAUAAACAAUUACUUCAAUUAAGUACAUAUUGUUAAAUUACUAUAAUUAGUAUGUUACUACAAAUAAAUAUUCUACUCUGUUAAAAUCAAGAAGCUUAAUUAAUUAAUUGGACAAUUAAUUCAUCUCAAAGAUUUAGACGAAGUUUGGUUAUAAUUGAACAUACAAAAGGCUAUGUCUUAAAUCCCAAUUCUAGCUAUCCUUAAAACUCUCAAACCAUCCCUCGUCUUGCUAACCCAAUUUAUCCAAAACCUGGACAGCCCAGUCCAAUAACCCCAUCAACGCGGCCCACAAAUUUUAAACCCCUAAAUAUUCCCUUUCUCAACAAAAGAAAAUCAGAAGUCCAAGAAAAUGAACCAAACAGACCCUAAGGUUCUACGACUCUGUAAAAAACAUACACCUCCAGUUGGUUUUCAACGGUAACAUGUACUUGGUCUUUCAAUUGGCAACAGAUUUUUGCUUAUCCCCGCUUGUAAGCUUUGGAUUUGAAGUUUGAAUUUUCUAAACGGUCGUAUUUUCAUUUGGGUUCCAUAAAUAGAAACCCUUCCCUUCAUUUUUUUGGGAAAGAGAUUUUUUAGAGAUUUAGAGGCCAAAAAAUUGGUCUUUUACACCUCAAAUGAGUUUUUGACAACCCUAAGAGUAAAAACAGUCAGAAACCCGGCGAAGCCGCGAGUUUCGAGGACGUUCUCACUCAAGUAUAAUUUUUGGAAGUCAUUUCCAUUCAUUGGAAAUCAAUUCGAUCUGAAAGGUGUUCAUCGACACUGGUCGCCUCCGUCGCUGCUCGACAAAAAGAUUUCGACGAUUCAAGGUGAAUCUUGAAGAUAUUAUUGUUCAAAAGAAGAAUAAGGGUUGCGAGCUUGGAAGAAUAAACGUUGAACGACUAAAGCGACCGAAAGCUGCUUUCUUGCCAUUUGUCACUGCCCUUCAAGGGCAGAUUGUCGGCCCUUAAUGUUGAAUACUUUGAAGUUGAGCUAUGCCACUAAGUGAACUGCUGCAUUUUGGCCCAAAUGUGUUUCCUAUCUAAGGUUGAAAUGUGUUGCGUGUCUAGCCCAAACUUUGCCUAAUUUGCUGCUCCUUUUAAAGCUUUAAACCUAUUCUUAUUUGGUUUCUGCACUUGAGACCUCUCUAAUGCUGUUACAUAUUGAGCUCUUGGUUAGAAAGAAUGAAGGUUACACUUGAGUUACUAUACGUAGCUACUACUGUAUUGAACUUGUGCUACUAUUUCGUUUAGAGUUAUUAGCAUGUCUUGGUUCACUGGUGCUAUUUUCUACCGCACCUUUGGCCAAUUUUGCUACCAUAUCUUGAUGUGUUUUCUGCUAUGCUUGAUGAGAAAAUUCUCCCCCAAAGUUUUGCAUUUGGUAAGAGUUGUUGUUGUGGUCUUGAGGCUGACAUAUUCCCCAUAUUUUUGGGGAAGGCACUGCUACCUGAUUGUUGUUGCACUCCAGCCAGUUAUACUACUGUUUUAUUUUAAGGAAACAUAUGCUACACUUGACAUGCUAUAAUAGAUGUUGCGCUAUUUCAUUAUUUCAGAAGAAACAAAUACUGCCUCUGUUUUGUAUUUACUGAUUCAGACACGAUACUACACUCGGGCCAAUGAAGAAUUAUUUAACUUAAGGCCUUACUUUUAAAAGAACGGAUUUCUAUACUUGAUUAAAAGUUUACUGAUUUGAAUACUUAACUUGAGAAUGCCUAAUCCAGAAAGGUUCUAUCCCUCGGUGGGCAAUGAUGAUCAUAGUUUAGUUAUAAAAUAGGAACCAACAUGCGCUUGGCAAGGCAAUGGAAUGACUGACCGAUCGCUAUUUCGCAGCCAUGAUAUGUUCAGGGGUCCUUUUUUCCAUAUUUGAAAGAAGCGUGACUCUGGGCCUUUAGUAAUCAAAGCUCCCACAUUUUCAUGCGAAAUCGAGGGAUAUUAUAUUUAUAUUCAUAAACGUCACCCCAUGGGGUGGCGUAUCCUUUUUACUAAUCAUUCUCGUUUCUAUUCUUGCGAGGUAUGAAUAAACAAGUUCGGGAAAUACUAUAAGGACGAAUAUUGCACAAUUGGAGCAUACAUAUGGAAUCCAAGCAAUAUGGAAUGACAAGAAGAGAAGUAGUAGGAGAUAAGGCAAAUACUUGGACAUUUGGAGUUUUCAGACGGAGAAUAAAGGGAGCACGGAAUUGCAACAAAAGGUCCAAGAAGGCGAGGAGAUAGGCUUAUCCGAUUAACCUUUCUCCACCUUCUUUCUCUCCCUCCCUUUAGUUAUUUCGAAAAUAUUAUAUUUACUUGUUUUAUUUAAGUAUUGUUGGAACCUUAAUAGAUUAGAACUUAAGAUUUAGAGUUGCCAAAACUGAUUUUCAAAGCCAUGUAUAAAACAGAUGUGAAAUACGAAUUACUCUUAAUAUAAGCUUGCUUUUCAUAA